CUCGGAGAUGUGUAUAAGAGACAGGUGGUAGAGCACUGGAUCCGUGCGGGGGCCUCACCGCCUACCAACCGAAACCAAACUCCGAAUGCCGUCGGUCCCGAGAUCGGGAGUCAGAACAUGUGGGCUAAGCCGUGUGUUCGAGAGGGAAACAGCCCAGACCGCCUGCUAAGGUCCCCAAAUCAACGCUGAGUGGCAAAGGAUGUGCGUUUGCCUAGACAACCAGGAUGUUGGCUUAGAAGCAGCCAUGCAUUUAAAGAGUGCGUAACAGCUCACUGGUCAAGUGGACAUGCGCCGACAAUACACGGGGCUAAGCGUUGUACCGAAGCAGCGGACUGUUUUAUCAGUGGUAGGGGAGCUUUCCAUGCCGGGGCGAAGCCGACGGGCGACCGUCGGUGGACUGCAUGGAAGUGAGAAUGCUGGCAUGAGUAACGAGAGAGGGGCGAGAAACCCCUCCGCCGUAAGCCUAAGGGUUCCUGGGCAAGGCUAAUCCCCCCAGGGUCAGUCGGGAGCUAAGGCGAGGCCGACAGGCGUAGCCGAUGCACAACAGGCGGACAUUCCUGUACCACCGCGGAGCGUUACUACGACGGGGUGACGGAGAAGGGUAGCCGGGCGGGGUUCUGGACGUCCCCGUGAAAGCGCGUAGGGAGGGGCCCAGGGAAAUCCGGUCCCCACAUAUCCCGAGACGCGAGACGAGCCCUAUGGCGAAGUCGCGGAUUCCAUGCCUCCUAGAAAAAUCCCUAGGCAGCGCCCACGCCGCCCGUACCAAAACCGACACAGGUGGGUAGGAAGAGCAUUCCGAGGCGAUCGGGGCAACCAUGGUCAAGGAACUCGGCAUAAUCGUCCCGUAACUUAGGGAGAAGGGACGCCCCCCAGCGUGAACCGGCUCGCCCGGGAAGCGCCGGGGGGCCGCAGCGAAAGGGCCCAAGCGACUGUUUACCAAAAACACAGGACUCUGCCAAGCCGCGAGGCGAAGUAUAGGGUCUGACGCCUGCCCGGUGCCGGAAGGUCACGGGGAUCCGUUAGCCUUUGGCGAAGCGGUGAACCCAAGCCCCGGUAAACGGCGGCCGUAACUAUAACGGUCCUAAGGUAGCGAAAUUCCUUGUCGGGUAAGUUCCGACCUGCACGAA
rnacentral:rRNA from 1 species